AUCACUUUGUCCAGCAUAUCUACGCUGUGUACGCUACCCGCCUGUUAGUCACUUAGUAGCCCUCUCAGUCAUCAGAUCGAGUGUCGGGUAUCUCAGUGCUUGUGUUCAAGUAAUCCUUAUUUUAUUUAGUAAUGGUCCCAAAGUGCAAAGGUAGUGAGGCUGGCGAUUCAGGUAUGCUAAAGAGAAGCUAUAAAGUGCUUCCUUUAGGUGAAAAGGUGCAAGUUCUCAACCCGAUAAGCAAAGAAAAAACAUCCUAUGCUGAGGCUGCUAAGAUCUACGGGGAAGAUAGCGACCGCAGAGUGGAGAAACCUUGUAGACACCACUUUUCUCAGGGGAUCAAGAUUAACAUUGCAGGGUCAUUCAAGGGUCACAAGGAUUUAUGAAACAAGGAUUUCUUGUUUCACAGAAGAAAAAGAAUGACUUCAAGGAAGUUAGGAUCACCAGAAAACCAGGCUCUAGCCGCCAUUGACCUUACAAGUCAGAUUGCCCAAGGGCUUAUAUGGAGUGAAAGAAACAUGGAUUACCGCCUUUGUUUCUCUGAAACUCCUCCUGCCAAGCCCCUUAGAUCUAUAAAAACCCCUGCUUUCUUCUCUUGUUAAGGCAGAUUUGAGGGAUCGUAUCCUCCUGCCUUCUCAUUUUGGCCAAUUUGAAUAAAGCUUUCUCCAUCUCCA
rnacentral:lncRNA from 1 species